CCCUGGGUGGCUGAGUCGGUUAAGCAUCUGACUUUGGCUCAGGUCAUGACCUCAUGGCUAGUGGAUUCGAGCCCCACGUCAGGGU
rnacentral:tRNA from 1 species